UACGUAGGGUCCGAGCGUUGUCCGGAAUUACUGGGCGUAAAGAGCUCGUAGGUGGUUUGUCGCGUUGUUCGUGAAAACUCACAGCUCAACUGUGGGCGUGCGGGCGAUACGGGCAGACUUGAGUACUGCAGGGGAGACUGGAAUUCCUGGUGUAGCGGUGGAAUGCGCAGAUAUCAGGAGGAACACCGGUGGCGAAGGCGGGUCUCUGGGCCGCAACUGGCGCUGAGGAGCGAAAGCAUGGGGAGCGAACAGG
rnacentral:rRNA from 1 species